rnacentral:rRNA from 1 species
GACGAAGGGGGCUAGCGUUGUUCGGAAUUACUGGGCGUAAAGCGCGUGUAGGCGGUUGCCAAAGUCGGGUGUGAAAGCCUUGAGCUCAACUCAAGAAAUGCACUCGAUACUUGGUGACUAGAGGACCAGAGGAUAGUGGAAUUCCCAGUGUAGUGGUGAAAUACGUAGAGAUUGGGAAGAACACCAGUGGCGAAGGCGGCUAUCUGGACGGUUUCUGACACUAAGACUCGAAAGCGUGGGGAGCAAACAGG